GACACCGCGCUGCUCAUGCCCAGUCCACCUCGUGCUCCUGCAGAACCUGCUGACUUGUGGUGGUGAGUGACUCCUUGGGACUUGGAGUACAGAGCAAUAGCACUUGCAUGCUUUAAAACUGCAGUCCCUUUGGCAUCUAAUCUCCAAAGCAUGUUAUUUCUUUACUUAAGGGCGCCUUGGAGACCAGGGGUUAAUCAUGGCUGUUAUUCCUCAGCUACCCACUUUGGUUUUUUAGACAAGGUUUCUCAAUGGGAACUGGAGCUUGCCGAUUAGGCUGUGCUGUCUGUCCAGUGGCCUCAAAGAUCCUUUUGUCUCUGCUUCCCCACAACUGGGGUUAUGAGCAUGCGCCAUCACACCCGGCUUUUUACAUUAGGUGCUGGGGAUUGAACUCAGGUCUUCACACUUGUGUGGCGUAUUCUGAUUCCAUUCCUAGUAGCUGAAAUAUUUAGAAAAAAAAAAAAA
rnacentral:lncRNA from 1 species